ACUCUUUUCCAAUAGCUUUCUUCACAACUUCUUUCUUCUUCUUUUUCUUAUUCGAUCGGUGACUGAUUUAAAUAUUGGAGGGGUGAUGCCGGCUAGCCAUCUAAUGAGUUGGGAAGCACAUCUAGUUUUAUGGAGCGGGGAAUCCCGAGCCGAAGGAAAAUGAGGUUCAUCAAAAGAAAAUCCUACAAAAAGCUACGAUAGAAGAUGAGCAGAAGGAGGGGAGAAGAAGAGCAGCGGAGGCAUCGACCGUCAUCUGCACAUGAGCAAAAAUGUUGAGGUUGAGGUGUCGAAGAUUUCGAAAGCUUUAAUCCACCAUUAGUACGGAGAUCUGACAACGCCUCGAGGAAGGACGAUAGAUUCAUGCCUUGGCCGUCAAAAGAGGCCUCUCCGCUUCCUCCAUCUUCGUUCAGCGAUCUCUCCUCCGGACGAGCUGCGAUAUGAAGGCAGCAUCCUCCUCUUUGGCGAUGUUGCCGUCUCUGAUAAGGGCCUCUGUAAACUCCAGGACCUUCCCUUUUCUACCCUCUUCAACAACUGCACCUCCCUCGGCGCCGUCUGACUCGACCGGGAAUUGAACGACUACUUGAUAAUUAUAAGACACAUAGGAGGGAAUGCUCGCAUCUGCUUCUCUUCGAGGUCCUCGUGAGUUUCUACCCAGUGUGGUUUUCUGUUGCAAGCACGGAAGGUGUUCGACCAAGUGCCAGGAGAUAUUCAAGAUCCUGACCAUGCUGCAACUACUGGUUCAAUGUUUAACAAAUGUGCAGCAGAUCUAAUGUGCUAUCAGGAUAUUGACCUGAUUGUUGAAGUGCUAAAAGUUAAUCAUACUGUUGUCUCUAGCAUGAUACAUCAUGCUGGAAAAAACCUUCAAUCACUUAUGUUUGGAAUUCGUUCCAAUCCUGCUUCAACAACAGAACUUUGACCCCUCUCCUAUUCCACAAUACAUUCUACGGAAGCAAAAUUCUGCUUGAAAAUUUUGAUGUUCCAUAUGACUUCACAUGGUUAUGGUCUCAGUUACAACACAGAAGGCCUCUAACCCAAUACACAAGUGUUCUGAUCAAGAAUGUUUGGAUGUUCAGGGUAUUUCAAAAUCUAGAAAGACUGCUUACCUUCCUUCCCUAGAAGGUCUGGAGGUCAAAUGGACUUGAGAACUUCAAUUUCAGGUUUAAAAUGGGUUAAUUAAAUCUUGAAAAAUCUCUUGCUGCCCCUACCAAUUUAUAUCUGGAAGCUCACUCAUGUCAUAUUACUGAAAAUGGCCAUUCAUCUUCUUCCUAUGGAAAUGUAGAUACAUCUUUUGCAAUU